rnacentral:lncRNA from 1 species
UAUACAAAGGGCGGGUAUGUUUUUUUUGUUUGUAUUCUCUUGAUGGUCCAUUUUAAACCAAUUAAAAUCCACCCUUUGUCGGAAAAAUUCUUUUAUCGUCUAAUAGUGAAUAUUGGUGAAUUGAUGGGUAGACAAAGAUCCCAUAAUAGAAAAAACAAGCGAAUGCGUCCUAACUUUUCUGAUGAAAAGGUUAGAGCACUGUCUUUGCAAAUGAACAUAACAUUCUGCAAUGGUCAUGUUGAGUAAAUAGGCAAUUUCUCGAUUAAAUUAAUCCAUGAGUAAAUCACUAGCAUGGCAUUGACUAAGUUGAUGAUGUACUCACUCUGAUCUAAACAUGCACGUACUAAGCAAACAGUAGACAAAUCUACACAUACUACUAGUACUGCUAAUAUGAAAAUAAUCAGGAGCGGGAUAAACGAGUUAUACCCUCCAGUAGGCCACGCAGAGGCCGCGGCUUUGGUGGCAGCAGCGGCGUCCUCGGCGACCUUCUUGUCGGCUUCAGCUUUCUCGGCGGCGGCACGGUCGGCGUCGGUGGACAUGGUGAUGACGAAGGCGACGCGGACGUAGAGGAAGUAGACGAUCGAAAGCGAGCAGUCGCGUAAUCGCUGCCCAAAAACCUAUUCGCCCCUCACCCCGUACAGGAACCAGAAGGGCGUGGUUUCGGAGACCUGCUCUCCCGUCGACCGUGUACGUGGCGGACGGGAUGGAGUCACCGGCGGCAGCAGCAGCAAAGGAACGACGGUGGGCGUGCGCGUGAGCAGAUGUGAUCUGUUCGUGGCGGCUAGGGUUAGGAGACACCGCAUACUUAUAGGUGCAGCCGCGUGGAGAGACGUGGGCUCGACCCACGUCCGAGUCCGUGACAGCCCACGAUCCGACGUCUCAGAUCGUGGCCCAGCUGUCAGAAAACUCUUCGUUAGUGACUGGCAAAAAUAAGCGCGUAGGUGUGAGCUCGGCUCGGCUCAAUCCCGCAACCCGCGGCGCGUCGUGACGAGGCGUGGCUUGGCGAGGCGGGCGGCGGAGGAGGAGUGCGCGAGGGCCUCUUCUCUUCUCAAGCUCCAAUAGCAUGUAGAAGAGAAACCCUUAUAAACCACUCCAACUCUCCUUCCACUUCCGGGGUGGGACUAAACUUCCCACCACACCUAGUGCCAUAUAACCCACAUGGGCCCUUAGAGAUUUUUCAGAAAUUGCAAUAUGGGCCUAGAGCCCAUCUCAGAUUUCAGCAAUCCCCCACCAGAUCUCGAGGGCCCAUUGUGUCCUCUGUUCCAAUUGCUGUUUCGAUAUACCAGUGUUUCAGUAAAGACCUGUUAAGGUUGAACUUCACCUAGAACAAGUGGCUACACUCCUUCACAACUGAACAAUGGACUAUGCCUUGAAUUGUCAGUUUGGCGUAAAGAAGUUUCACUACAUGUCUUACUAGUACUAGGCUGCCGAAGGCUGACCCCUCGGGUGGAGCAUAUAAGUCACACUCCUGGCCUAUUCAUGAGCUUACUAGAGAUCACCCCAAUCUCAUAGACUUGGACCAGCAGUCGGGCUCAUAUAGGUGUGUUCCUCCAAAGAUCGCUCUGUAGGAUAGCAUCUUGCUUUUAUAAGCUUUGGAACACAUUGAGACCGUAGUCAUCCUACCAUACAGUAUCGAGAGUAUUGCAUCUCCAAUGGAGUGGGUUAGUAUAGUUACUCUCCUCAGUUCACCACUGGCUUGUUUUCCCAGGUCCUAGUUCACGGGAUCUCCGAUCACAUAGGUUGGGUUACCACCAUGGCAACUCAUGUGGGUCUCAUACCCAUCUCCCUCGAUGCAUUAUCUAUCACAACACGUGAUAGCCCUUUUGUAAAGGGAUCUGCCAGAUUCUUAGCCGUAUGGACAUAGUCCAACGCUAUCACUCCGGAGUUUCUUAAUUUUCUGACAGCUUUUAAUCUCAUUCUUAUGUGUUUGGUGGACUUCAUGUUGUCCUUUGAACUCUUCACCUUGGUGAUGACAGUCUGAUUGUCACAGUUCAUAAGGAUAGCCGGAACCGGUUUAUCAACCAAUGGCAAGUCCAUCAAAAGAUCUCGAAGCCAUCUCGCUUCAACACCAGAUGUGUCUAAUGCCGUUAAUUCUGCUUCCAUUGUCGAUCUCGUUAAGAUCGUUUGCUUGCAAGACUUCCAGGAAACAGCGCCACCUCCAAGAGUAAACAUAUACCCAGUUGUGGCCUUCAUCUCAUCAGCAUUAGAGAUCCAAUUCGCAUCACUAUACCCUUCAAGUACCGACGGGUAUCCGGUAUAGUGAAGUCCAUAGUUCAUAGUACCUUUCAGAUAGCGCAUAACUCUCUCAACAGCAUGCCAAUGUACAUCACCCGGUUUGGAAACAAACCGGCUCAGUUUGCUCACAGCAAACGCGAUGUCAGGCCUCGUUGCGCUCGCUAGGUACAUCAGUGAACCAAUGAUUUGAGAGUAUCUCAAUUGAUCUUUAGCCAUGCCUUUGGACUUUCGAAUCAAUACGCUAGGAUCAUAUGGUGUUUGAGAUGGUGUGCAGUCCGAAUAUCCAAAACGACUCAACACCUUCUCAACGUAAUGGGAUUGCAGAAGUGUGAUCCCACCCUCAUUAUCUCUCAGUAGCUUGAUGUUCAAGAUAACAUCAGCCACACCAAGGUCUUUCAUCUCAAAGUUCUGAGAUAGAAACGAUUUGACCUCCUCAAUGACUUUGAGGUUUGUUCCGAAUAUCAGUAUGUCAUCAACAUACAACCACAGUAUAACUCCUUCGCCCCCACCAUGGCGAUAGUAUACACAUUUGUCAGCCUCAUUAACAACGAAACCAACAGAUGUCAGAGUUGUAUUAAACUUAUCAUGCCAUUGCUUAGGUGCUUGUUUCAGGCCAUAUAAAGAUUUUAUCAACCUACACACCUUUCUUUCCUGACUAUCUAUCACAAAGCCAUCAGGCUGUUGCAUGUAGAUUUCCUCCUUUAGCUCUCCAUUUAGAAAAGCCGUCUUAACAUCCAUCUGAUGGACGAGAAGACCAUGUGAGGCCGCCAACGAGAGUAAUACUCGAAUGGUGGUCAGCCUAGCCACAGGUGAAUAAGUAUCAAAGAAAUCUUCCUCUUCUUCCUGGUCAUAGCCCUUGGCCACAAGCCUAGCCUUGUACUUUUCAAUCGUACCAUCGGGCCUAAGCUUCUUUUUGAACACCCACUUACAUCCCAGUGGUUUGCAACCAUAGGGACGGUCAGUGAUCUCCCAUGUCCCGUUAGCCAUGAUGGAAUCCAUCUCGCUACGGACCGCAUCCUUCCAGUAGUUAGCUUCUGGAGAGGCAUACGCUUCUGAAAUAGAAGUGGGAGUAUCAUCCACGAGGUACACGAAGAAAUCAUCACCAAAGGUCUUUGCAGUCCUUUGUCUCUUGCCCCUACCAAGGGUUUCCUCGUCAUCCUCCUCAGGAUUUUCAUCAUGUGUUUGUUCAUAAUAUUCCAUAGGGAUGGCAGGUUCAGGAGUCUCCUCAGAUUCCUGUCUAGAAGUGCUUUGCAUAUCUCUCAUAGGAAAAAUAUCCUCAAAGAAUGUAGCAUCCUUAGACUCCAUAAUUGUACCGAUCUUCUGGUCAGGUACCUCAGAUUUCACUACUAGAAAUCUAUAGCCAACGUUGUUCUUAGCGUAGCCCAAAUUAAUGCAGUCCACGGUCUUAUGUCCAAGCUUACGCUUUUUGGGGAUCGGCACGUUGACUUUCGCCAAACAGCCCCAAGUGCGCAAGUACGAGAGUGUCGUCCUUCUCUUUGCCCAUUUCUCAUAGGGAGUGAUCUCACUAUCCUUUGUCGGAACUUUAUUCAGGACAUGACAUGCCGUCAAUAUAGCCUCCCCCCACCAUGCCUUGGAUAAACCUGAUGUAUCUAACAUGGCGUUAACCAAAUCAGUUAGAGUACGGUUUUUCCGCUCGGCAACCCCGUUUGACUGGGGUGAAUAGGGAGGCGUCCUCUCAUGAAUAAUGCCGUGUUCCGCACAGAAGGAAUCAAACCCACUCGAGAAGUACUCUCCACCACGAUCUGACCGGACUCGUUUAAUUUUCUUUUCAAGUUGAUUUUCAACUUCUGCCUUAUAGAUUUUAAAGUAGUGUAGAGCCUCAUCUUUAGUAUUUAACAGAUACACAUAGCAAUAUCUAGUGGAAUCAUCUAUCAAUGUCAUGAAGUAUCUCUUUCCACCUUUAGUCAACACACCAUUCAUCUCGCAAAGAUCAGAAUGUAUGAGUUCUAAUGGUGCCAGGUGUCUCUCCUCCGCGGCCUUAUGAGGCUUGCGAGGUUGCUUAGCUUGCACACAUGAAAGGCACUUAGAACCUUUGGCUAAAGUGAAACUCGGGAUUAAAUCCAACUUGGCUAGCCACGUCAUAACACCAAAACUAAUGUGACAAAGACGUGAAUGCCAAACUUCAGAUUCAUUAACAUUCGAAUGAAUAUGGUUCACGACUUUAUUACAAAAAUCUGCGAGGGAAAGGCGGAACAUCCCUCCGCUCUCAUAACCUUUUCCAACAAAGAGUCCAUAUUUUGUAACAACUAAUUUAUUAGACUCAAAAACCAACUUAAACCCUUCUCUACAUAGAAGGGAGCCACUAACGAGGUUCUUCUUGAUGGCGGGGACAUGCUGCACGUUCUUCAGCUGCACGAUCCUUCCCGAAGUAAACUUCAGAUCGACCGUGCCAACACCAUGAACAGAAGCACUCGCGCCAUUCCCCAUCAAUACGGACCCGUGACCUGUGACCUGGUAAGAAGUGAACAAUGAAAUGUCAGCACACACAUGAACACCUGCACCUGUGUCCACCCACCAAUCGUUGGGUUGAAACACUGAAAAAACAGUAAAUAAAUUACCGUACCCAGAUGCACCAUUCUCAUUGUUGCCCACAAUCAUGUUGACAGACUUGGAUUCCUGUCCUGACUUCUUGUACUUGUUUGGGCACUUGUUGGCCCAAUGUUCAACCGAACCACAAGUAAAGCAGCCCUCGUCCUUCUUGUUCUUCUUGAAGGUCUUCUUACCCUUCUUCUUAAAGUCGGUAUUGUGUUGGACACCGUUCUUUCCCUUGGGCUUGUGGGAGUUGAAGUUCUUCUGGUUCACCAUGUUGGCAACAGAAGUCCCUUCGGCCCCUUUUCCGUGCGAGUCUUUUGCCCUCGAAUUCUGCUCAACACUCAGAUGGCCAAUGACAUCCUCCACAGAUAAUUCACGCCUCUGAUGUUUCAAAGUGGUGGCAAAGUUCCUCCAGGAAUUAGGGAGCUUAGCGAUUAUGCAGCCCGCGACAAACUUGCCCGGUAACUCGCACUUGAGAAGCUCAAGUUCCUUAACAGUGCAUAUUAUCUCAUGAGCCUGCUCCAAUACAGGACGGUUUUCAACCAUCUUGUAAUCGUGGAACUGCUCUAUAAUAUACAUCUCGCUCCCUGCAUCGGCGGCCCCGAAUUUAGAUUCGAGCGCCUCCCACAAGUCCUUGGCGACAUGCACAUGUAAAUAUGCGUCGACCAGUUUAUCUCCGAUCACGCUAAGAACUGCUCCGAGAAACACAACGGUAGCCUCCUUGAACGCCUUCUCCUGUUCAGGAGCAAUCGUUCCCGUGGAGACACCGGUGACCCAGAACACGUUCAUAGCCGUGAGCCAUAACGUGGUCUUAGUCUGCCAACGCUUGAAGUAUGUACCGGUAAACUUAUCCGAUUUCAGUGCAGCGGCAAAGCCACUUACCGAGAAAUUCCUACACAUAAUAGGUUUUUGGAUUGUUGAGUAAAUAGGCAAUUUCUCGAUUAAAUUAAUCCAUGAGUAAAUCACUAGCAUGGCAUUGACUAAGUUGAUGACGUACUCACUCUGAUCUAAACAUGCACGUACUAAGCAAACAGUAGACAAAUCUACACAUACUACUAGUACUGCUAAUAUGAAAAUAAUCAGGAGCGGGAUAAACGAGUUAUACCCUCCAGUAGGCCACGCAGAGGCCGCGGCUUUGGUGGCAGCAGCGGCGUCCUCGGCGACCUUCUUGUCGGCUUCAGCUUUCUCGGCGGCGGCACGAUCGGCGUCGGUGGACAUGGUGAUGACGAAGGUGACGCGGACGUAGAGGAAGUAGACGAUCGGAAGCGAGCAGUCGCGUAAUCGCUGCCCAAAAACCUAUUCGCCCCUCACCCCGUACAGGAACCAGAAGGGCGUGGUUUCGGAGACCUGCUCUCCCGUCGACCGUGUACGUGGCGGACGGGAUGGAGUCACCGGCGGCAGCAGCAGCAAAGGAACGACGGUGGGCGUGCGCAUGAGCAGAUGUGAUCUGUUCGUGGCGGCUAGGGUUAGGAGACACCGCAUACUUAUAGGCGCAGCCGCGUGGAGAGACGUGGGCUCGACCCAAGUCCGAGUCCGUGACAGCCCACGAUCCGACGUCUCAGAUCGUGGCCCAGCUGUCAGAAAACUCUCCGUUAGUGACUGGCAAAAAUAAGCGCGUAGGUGUGAGCUCGGCUCGGCUCAAUCCCGCAACCCACGGCGCGUCGCGUCGCGUCGUGACGAGGCGUGGCGUGGCGAGGCGGGCGGCGGAGGAGUGCGCGAGGGCCUCUUCUCUUCUCAAGCUCCAAUAGCAUGUAGAAGAGAAACCCUUAUAAACCACUCCAACUCUCCUUCCACUUCCGGGGUGGGACUAAACUUCCCACCACACCUAAUGUCAUAUAACCCACAUGGGCCCUUAGAGAUUUUUCAGAAAUUGCAAUAUGGGCCUAGAGCCCAUCUCAGAUUUCAGCAGGUCAUACUAUAUGCUGAUCUAAUUGAGUAAAUCUACUGAAAUGUUCCAGCUUGACUGGAAGCGCAGAACAACUCCCAUAUUUUCCCCGGAAGGAGAUGGUUCAUCAGCAAACUACAACAAGGCCAAACUUCUCAAGUUUAUCCCCAAAACGGGACCAACUCUAAAAACACCCAGAGACCUCCAGAUUUUCGACAAAACGAGAGUUGAGCAAACUACUGCCAUCAGCUUCAGAAAUCACUAGAGCAAGUACAUUUGUUAGUUCUAGGCAACCUGAGAAAUAAAAUAAGAAAAGUUAGUGAACAGCAAUGAGAUGGAUUUCUCAACAAGAGGUGAUAUAGAAAAAACAAGACGACCUGUGUAAACAGCAGUCAGUACCACAACAGUAUUUGCAAUAUGUGCAACAUAUUUAUUUCUAGUAUAUCUUGAUUGAAGAAGAAAAUUACGCGGUGAUCAAUUCUUAACAAAAUAACGUUUGAAUUUCAGGCUGACCAGUGACAAUAUUUCAGGAAAACGAAUACUAGUCAUAAUGAUGACACUGCAAAGUGUAUGUCAGGCUCUUGUACACUAUAUAAGGUCUUGCCUAAUUUGUAGUUUUUGUACUGCUAGUUCAGAAAUACUAAUAUAUUUGGAUGAAAGGUCCAGCUAAAACAAACAUUGAUCAAUAAUUUUCAGCGGCACCAUCAAUACAGGUUGUUGAUAUAAGGCACCGUUGUGAAAUGAAUAUAUUUUUAACAGGUCAAAGAAUAUGGCAUUGACACUGAAAU